rnacentral:rRNA from 1 species
CUAACCUGCUAAAUAGUACGGUUGCAACAUUAUAUGGAGCUUCAAUUUGGUCACUUCGUGUCCGGUUGAAACCAUAUAAGCAGGCGAGACUUCUUAGAGGGACUGGCACUUUACACAAAGUGCACGAGGAAGAGCAAUAACAGGUCUGUGAUGCCCUAAGAUGUCCGGGGCCGCACGCGUGCUACACUGACGAUGCAAAUGAGCAUGAUUUGCUUGUCCGAAAGGAUCGGCAAACCUGUUCAAUCAUCGUCGUGACUGGGAUUGGGGUUUGCAAUUGUCCCCCAUGAACGAGGAAUUCCUAGUAAGCACAAGUCAUAAGCUUGUGCUGAUUACGUCCCUGCCCUUUGUACACACCGCCCGUCGCUACUACCGAUUGAAUGGUUUAGCAAGGUUAUUGGAUCUGAGCAGAGCGGUUCACGCUGCUCUGUUUUGGAGAAGAUGACCGAACUUGAUCAUUUAGAGGAAGUAAAAGUCGUAACAAGGUUUCCGUAGGUGAACCUGCGGAAGGAUCAUUA